GUCUACGGCCAUACCACCCUGAAUGCACCUGAUCUCUGAUCUUGGACGCUAAGCAGUGUCAGGCCUGGUUAGUGCUGGGAUGGGAAAAAGACCCAGGCCCACCUGUAAGGA
rnacentral:rRNA from 1 species